UGAGUACAUGUCCCAGGCAUCUUCGCAAAACAAGCCUACCCUGACUGAACAAGGUAGCUCUUCUACGGCUGGCCUGGUGACGUCUUUGCCCUCUGUGACGACAGGUAAUGAUAGCCUGAAUGCUGCCGGGUCAGCUGGAGUUCCCCUCGG